UGGGUAGAAAUUGUCCUUCCCC
rnacentral:piRNA from 1 species